AGAGAGGAAUGUUCCGUUACAGUUACAUAUCUAUAACGUAUAUUUAUAACAUAUAUAUUUAAUUUAUAAAUUAAUAUGAAGCGCUUAUCGUGGCGCGCGUUGGGGACGAACCCACGAAGAUUACAGUUUUCUAGAACUUCAACUUGAGGCGUAGGGCGGACAAUAAAGCAAACGUGUGACUCGGUAGAAAAAACACCUAAAGAAUCUAUGUACUUGAAGCUAAGUCGGUUCAAGGACACAGCAGAUACUUCACCAUCUGAGCCGAAGCCGCAGUACAUGCUCCAAGGAAGCGUUGGCAGACUUAGGUGGUACUUUGGAGCUGCAGCAAGACAGGGAUGAAUCUGCAGAAAUCUCAUAUAUCAGAGACUUAAGGGACAACUCACAAUCUCUGGGAAAAGAUCUGGAAGCAACAAUAACACUCUCACCACUCUCAUUUUGGGGCAAAAGUAGAUGUGUCUUUUUUUCUAGAAGUCCUGGCUAAAACUUGUAUCUGCAGUGAUAAUAAACAAUA